rnacentral:rRNA from 1 species
GGGCUCCUACAUGCAUAAGACUGGCUGCGGAUGGUCGACUGCCUCCAGGGGGAGUAACCCGGUGGAGUAUAAUUCCUGGGGCGAAUGACGGUACCGUAAGAAUAAGCACCGGCUAACUACGUGCCAGCAGCCGCGGUAAUACGUAGGGUGCGAGCGUUAAUCGGAAUUACUGGGCGUAAAGCGUGCGCAGGCGGUUAUGUAAGACAGAUGUGAAAUCCCCGGGCUCAACCUGGGAACUGCGUUUGUGACUGUAUAGCUAGAGUGUAGCAGAGGGGGAUAGAAUUCCGCGUGUAGCAGUGAAAUGCGUAAAUAUGUGGAGGAACACCGAUGGCGAAAGCAACCCCCUGGGCCUGCACUGACGCUCAUGCACGAAAGCGUGGGGAGCAAACAGGAUUAGAUACCCUGGUAGUCCACGCCCUAAACGAUGUCAACUGGUUGUUGGGUCAUCAGAGACUCAUUAACAAAGCUAUCACGUGAACUUUACCCCCUGUGGAGUAUAGCCCUAAGGUUUAAACUCAAA